UUAAAAAUUUUAAAAUUUAAAAUUUAAAAAUAAAAAAGAAAACUACCUAACUAAUUUAAAAAAUAAAAAAAGACAUUAAAAAAAGAAAACCGUCAACAAUUCAAAUAUUUCUAAAACAUUAGAUAUAAUUAAUAAUUAAUUUAAUUUUCUACAUCCCCUGAAAAAAAAAUUAAUUUUCUACAUAUUUUUGCACGCAUCGCUUGCAUAUAAAAAAAACUACUUUGUCAAAAAUAUAACUUUUCACUAGAAGCUUCUCAAAUUGAACUAACAAUUUUUUGCGCCAAUAUUUUAAACACAGCUUUCGCUUUCCUCCAUCAUAUAUUCAUAUGAACUUGUAUAAUCUUUCUACAUUUUUCCUCACUUUUGUUGGUAGGUAUCUGAAUUUUCCGAAGAUUCUGAAGUGAUCCAGAAAAUUCAAGUACUAUGAAGGAACCCACAAAAUCAAAAGCAGCAAAUCUAUCAUAAUCUAUAAUUCAGACUUUUGUUGGGAAUAAUAUAGUAUGAAAUUAAAAAUUAAAGUUCUGGGUGAACAGUUUAGUAAUGGCGGUUUUAGAGAGUGCAGAUGCUGGUACAGCACCUCAACUGGCUGAAGCUCUGGCCGAUACUGACAUUCAUUGGGACAGGUUGGACAAGACAAAAUUCCAUGUCAUAGGUUCUAUUCUUUUUACUGCUCAGUCUGCCUUACUACAUCCUACAGCAGUUGUAAAGACUAGAAUGCAAGUGGCUGGUUCAGGCUUCUCUCACACACGAGGUGUAUCAUUAUUUGCACAAAUAUUGAAGACUGACGGCAUUACUGGCAUUUUCAGAGGUUUUGGCACUUCAGCCAUUGGAUCAAUACCUGGGAGGGUUCUAGUCUUGAGCUCUCUUGAACUGUCAAAGGACAUGUCGCUCAAGUAUCUAGAUAGGUUCGAUAUGCCAGAGGCUACUCGUCUUGGCAUCGCUAAUGGGGCAGCAGGCAUGAUAUCAAACUCAGUUUCCUGCAUAUACUAUGUUCCUCUGGAUGUGGUGUGCCAAAGAUUAAUGGUUCAAGGGAUUCCAGGAACCACACCAUGCAAUGGCCCGUUUGACGUUAUACGUAAAGUGAUGAGGUCUGAGGGAAUCCGUGGCAUCUACAGAUGGUUUUUGUUGACAGCUUUGACUCAGUCCCCUGCGUCAGCACUUUGGUGGGGCACAUAUGGUGCAGCCCAGCAUAUAAUUUGGAGAAACUUGGGAUAUAAGGAUGAGGCAGACAAGAAGCCAUCUCUUAUUGAAAUGGUAACUGUUCAAGCCAGUGCAGGAAUGGCUGCUGGUGCAGUUUCCUCCGUGAUUACAACUCCCCUAGACACUGUCAAGACACGGCUCCAGGUCAUGGACAACUAUGGUGAUGGAAGACCUUCAGUUACCAAAACAUCCAAGGUGCUUCUUGAACAAGAUGGAUUGUGGGGAUUUUAUAGAGGAUUUGGACCGCGUUUUCUGAACAUGUCACUCUAUGGAACCUCAAUGAUUGUGACUUAUGAGCUUAUAAGUAAGUCUAUUUUUCCGGUGUUUAGAUUGAGCUUAUACUUGAGCAUAUUCGUAUUAGUACAGCUUCCUUUUCCACAAACUGUUCUUGCAUAAUUAAAGCUUAAAUUUUGAGCCCAGCUUUGCACGUUACACCAUUCAUAGUCUGAAUUAUUCCAAUGAAAACCUCUGCUUGUCACAACACUUACCUGUUUGGUAGGCGUUUAUUAAUGAUUGUAAUGGCGAUGUCUAUGGUAAUGCUUGUGUAUCCCAAAUACCUCUUUUUCUUCAUAUACAUGUGCAUUACCACUUUAUAGGUGGUAUUGAGUACUAUGACAAGUUAUGAGGAAAAACAUAUGUUCAAUGGAUGAAGUUUCAUUAUCAUGCGUAUUGACCUUAGACUUUAUGGAAGCGUACAUAUUAUUUCAUUAUCAUCACCACUAACUAUAAACCUUAGCAUCCAUGCUAUGCAUGUUGUUAGUCUCUCAUGAAAACCAUUCGUUAAUCUUCCAAAGGAAGAAAGAGUCUCCUUGGGUUUUUCCGCCUCAAUCUUCCACUCCCACAUGUUGGCUCUGUCUUUCCUUUUAGUAGUUUUGUAAUGAACUGACAUCUUUAAAGCAGAUUACGGAAGAAUAUUAAGAAAGGAAGAUUAUCUUUAACGAUAGCCUAUACAAUUACAGCAAAGUAGAGAUAGUAACAAGCUUUCGAGAGGCUUUUUUCUCACCUAAAACUAAACCACUAAACUCUCCAAUAAAGUCAGCAUGCUCUCUCUCCCUAAUGUCCAUUGUCCUCUAUUUAUAGCAUUCCCUUCCUCACUAGCUCUCUAACUUAUUCUUCAAGCUACAACAAAAACUAGCUGAUUAUGCAGUACCAAGAUUGCUGCUCUCUUGCUACCAAAAAGAAAAAGAUUGCUGCUCUCAUUAGGUUGGUUCAUUACAAUAGGUUUAUGUCGUAACCUGAGAUAGGUAGACCUGCUUCUUGGUUCCUUGUAUCAUUUGAUCCAACCUUGGGUGUUUUAAUUUCAAGUAUGCACCCUGUCAGUUAGAACACCCCCUCCCUUAACUCUAAUAAUAAUGUACCAGAAAGCCAACAAAAUGCAAAAAUCUAAAAUUGGACUUCUUGUCUUAUCUUCGUGAUAGUUUUAUUAUUGUUCUAUGUUUCCCUGCCCCAUCACAUUCCACACCAGUAAAAGGGUUCGUUGGAAAGAAUGGCAUGGAAGCUCGGGCAAUGGUUGAUCUAGGAUUCUAGUUUUAGGGUGUCAAUUCUAUAGGUUUUGUGAGUAGUAAUUUGGGGUUCCGACAAUCAACACUAUCUUUAUUUUGCAAUGGGCCAAUAAUAAGGCAGAUAGGCCUUUUUGAAAAAAAAAGCUAAAUGACGUCCUAAUUUUUUUUUACUAAUUCUCUAAAUACGUAUUUUAUACCGUAUUUGUAUCCUGUUUCUACUCUUUCCCUCACUUCUCCUUAGUCCUUCCCUUUCCUUCUUUCACCACCACUAGGCACUAUGGAUUGCACCACUGAAGCCACCAGCACCAUCAAUUUUCCGGCAGGCUUCGCAUAAUCGUCGACCAGUCCACAAAUUGAUUUUUUUUUUAUAAAAUCAACCCCGCUUUCACAAGGAGCCCAAAUUUCAAGCACAAUUCUGAGGAAAAGAACUGAAACUUCUUACCAAAUCAAACCACAAGUUGUAAACUAGUAAAAUUAAUGAGAAAAGUACCUCAAUUUUACCAUAAUUAUACAGUUUUACAGCAUCAAGAGAAGUCAAAAUCAAAACGAGAUGAUUAUCAAGAAGCUCGUUGAUUUUUUUAAAAAUAUGGUGAGGCGUCCACCAUGGACGCCCCCACCACAGGCACACGCGUCCAUUGUAGGCGCCUGCACUUUUGGUGGCGCGUCCACCACACCAUAUUUUCAAAAAAAAAAAAUUCAGAAGAAGAGUAGGAGAAAGAUUACAAAAACACCCCCAAAGUGUGAUGAUGGUGGUGGUGGUACAGCGGUGGCGUCGACGCCGGUGGUGGUGUGGCGGUGCCAGUGGUUGUGUGGAAGGAGGGGAAGGGGAAGGGGAAGGGGAAAGGGAAGUGGAGGUGAGGGAAAAGAAAGAGAGGUAGGCUAAUGAUGCAGGUAAAAAUACUAUAUUUAGGGAGUUAGUAAGAGAUUGAGCUGGGGUGAAAUUCUUGAAAAAUACUAAUACUUAGGUCUUAGGUGACAUACUAAAGCUUGACGUAGCAUUAGAAAUUUGUUGUGACAGUUACAAGUCUUACAACGCAUGAAAAUCUACUCAUUUGCUAAAUGACGCCCUAAUUUUUCCUAAUAACGCCCUAAAUACAUCACAAUAAAUACAAUAGCCCACCUUCAUGUACUAUACUCAUUGGAAUACCCCUCCAUGUAUACGAAUAGCAAAAUUCUACAAUUAUUAGACAUUAGUGACUAGUUCAUCUUUUCUAACAUCACACACACAUUGCAGCAAGAUCUGAAAAUAGACAUAGAUGGACUGCUCUCAAAUCUCAAUCAUCUUCAACUAAUUGAUAUUCUCAUCUACCUCCAGGUUCUCUUUCUCAAAACUCUCUCUUUCAUCUACCCCUUUCCUUCACUUCCUAUCUACCCUCCACUUUCUCCCUUUCCCUGCACCACCAUCACCACCAUCACUGUUACAAAAUUUCCGGCGAACUGUUACAAAAUUUCCGGCGAGCUUGACCCCGAUAACCAAGAAACUGAUUUUUUUUUUUAAAAAAAAAAUGGUGAGGGCGUCCAAAGUAGACGCCCUCACCAUUUUUUUUUUUUUAAAAUUCAAUUUUAUUUUUCUCAUAAAUUCAAAUCUUACUUUCUUUUUGUGAGAUUUAUUAUGUGGAUGUGAUUUUUGUAUUGUGGGAUUUAUUUUGUUUGGAUGGCCGGUGGUGGGGCAUGAUGAUUGCCGGCGGUGGCUCUAGUGGUGGGGCAUGGUGAUGGCUGGCGGUGGCUCCAGUGGUGGGGGGUGGAAGGAGUGGGAGUGAGGGGAAGGGAAGAUCAAGAAAGAGAGAGUAUAAUAAAAAGAAAUGAAAAGAGAGAUUAUCUGUGAAGCAGUGGUGAAAAAGGAAACAAAGUUGUCAGAAGGUUUUUCUGCCUGGCUCAUCCUCUGAGGAAUAUUCUCGUAAAAUUUCCCAUCUUAUUUUUCACAUUAUUUUACUGUUGAAUGUUAGCGUCAUUGAUUGGAAAAGAUGUAUUUCACCUUUUGUAUAGUUCCUUGAAUGACGAUGUUGUAAGGAAGUAUGUGUGUAUUAUUAUGGCAUUGAAAAAGAACAAACUUAUCUGGAUAA